rnacentral:snRNA from 1 species
CAGUGUUACAGUUCUUUUAGAAUUUGUCCAGCAGAUUUUCAGGUUUUUUAACAGAAAGCCCCU